GGUUGUCGUCAGCUCGUGUCGUGAGAUGUGGGUUAAGUCCCGCAACGAGCGCAACCUUGUGUUUAGUUGCAAACAGGUCAAGCUGUGCACUCUAGACAGACUGCCGUGGACAACACGGAGGAAGGUGGGGAUGACGUCAAAUCAUCAUGCCCCUUAUGAUCUGGGCUACACACGUGCUACAAUGGCCGGUACAACGGGCAGCGAAGGAGCGAUCCGGAGCGAAUCCUAAAAAGCCGGUCCCAGUUCGGAUUGCAGGCUGAAACUCGCCUACAUGAAGUUGGAGUUGCUAGUAAUCGCGAAUCAGAAUGUCGCGGUGAAUGCGUUCCCGGGUCUU
rnacentral:rRNA from 1 species